rnacentral:snRNA from 1 species
AGAGUGGCGUGAACCCGGGAAGUGGAGCUUGCAGUGAGCUGAGAUCGCGCCACUGCACUCCAGCCUGGGUGACAGAG